CAGUCUUGAGUGGAGUGCACAGCAAGAGAAGGUGUAUAGGUUGAGCCACUUUCCAAAAAUCAUUAACUCUUCUAGUAAGAGCUUAUAGGUUAUUAGUUUCCAUGAAGCUCCAAGUAUCCAUUACAGUUUAUGCCAUACAGAACCUACAAUAAGCCUCAGAAUUAGAGUGGACCUCGCCAUGGUUUUAUUCUCCUUUUAGGAAAUAGCUCUUGAUUAACAAGUGAGCCCUGAUAGAAAUAGAACAUCUGACCAUGGGAGCCAAGCUGCCAUUGAUGGUUGAUAUGUCUUUCGCUGACCCAUCAAUUGACCAACCAACAAGAUUCCAUCUUCAAGGAAGAAUACGAAGACUGGGUCUGAGCAGAUUGCCAUAUAGAGGAAAAGUUUCGGACUUGGAUGCAGUUGUUGAUGGAAACAUUUUGUGCUCCUCUUUGGGAAGAAGAGUGGAACAAAGGAAGUUACCUCAGCAUUUUAGUGAUUACACUGUGGGUCCUGGUGCUCCAUAA
rnacentral:lncRNA from 12 species